UUUUUUGUAGGACGGUCAAGUGUUGAGAAUGCCCCAUACUUCUUGACUUUGCGAAUCCUCCAGCAACAGAAAGCGAAGGUCUUUGUAUUGCCGUUCGUUCGUUUACUCUGGACUAUCUCCACUUCACCGAUUUCAAUGAACUUUGUGUUGAAAGACAUGAAUGGAAAUAAUUAACACAAAAAUAAAACGGGCUUACGUAUGCUUCAUUACAUAC